AUGUUUAUUAUCAGAAAAUUCAAACAAGUACGGUCAGUGGCGGGUCCAUCGCUGCAUGGCAUCCCGCUGCACCCAGGAGCCGCAGUGCUUGGGGGCACGCGGGACGUGAGGGGAGCAGGUUACGAUGGGCUUCCUGCAACACCUGGAGAUUGGCGCUCGCUGCCGCCCUUCUGGAAGGUUCCACGCAGGGUGGGAACGCUGGCGGUGAGGUUCAAAAUUUCUAUUAAGUGGUGUUCCGUGACUGAGCAUAAGCUAGGAAGAGUGGGCAAUGGACCUUUCCAUUAAAACUGUGGAAUCCCUGCAGUAGGCUCUAGCCUUGGUCAAUAAGUAAUUGGGCAUUUUGCUGCUUUAUGACAGAGCCCUCGGGCAGGCAGACACUGAACACCCUUUCAUCCUCCUGACUUCAAAGUACUGCUCAGAACUUUGCAGAAACAGUCUUUUAAUUAGAUCUGUAAUUGAAACAUCUAUCGGACUAGCCUACAACAUCUUUUCAAAGUAUCUUGUAUGUAAUGUUGCAGCAAAUGAAUGUGAUUUUCCCAUGGAGCACAGUCUCAUGUUUAAUUAUCACAUCUCUUUAGCUUCCUGUAAGUGCACCUUUCAGCAGUUCCUUUUCAGAGAUGAUUAAACCCUAGUUUAUCUCACAAGUUGUACAUAUUUAAGAAAAUAUUCAAGGCUUUCAGAGAACUGGAAAUUAAUUAUUUUGUUAUAAAGCUGACCUUAGCAUUUUUGAUGUGGCCUACAGACUUGCUCCUUUUCAUUUAGAGGAGCUAAGGAAGUUGUGUUCAAAGAGCUAAAACUCGACCUGGCUUAGAGGACAUGGUAGGCAUUAAUAUAUAAAUGCUUUUGUGAACAUCCUAUAAAUUCUCUGCCUCUUUCAUACCCAACCUCGUUGCUUCAUGUUGCAUUAUAUCUGCUGAUAUUCUGGCAGUGCAGCUGCCAAGUGGACGAAGGAUUUUCAGAGUUAAAAACUUGAUUAACUGUAGUUUGAGUUUAAAAUUUUAUCACUAAAACUCUUCCUAUGGAAUUUUUACUCUGAAAACAAGUGUUUCCCUUACAUUAAAAAACUGUUUCCUUUAUAAUAAAAAGAGUUGCUUCUCAGAACA
rnacentral:lncRNA from 1 species